GCUUGCCUCUAUUUUCUCGAUUCAAGAUCCUCUUUUCUUUCGCUGCUACUAUCGCCGCUCUCCGAUGCCUUCAAGAUCGGCAUCUGGAGCUGGACAGUACUUCCGGCUAUUCCUGGAACCUGCUGCGUCGCCAAAUUCGUACUCCGGGUCUCCACCCAUGCUUGCGGUCGCCAUAUCAAUUUGAUGGCAUUGCUAUUGAGCAGGUAUUUUGUGCCUUGUGUGGUUCUGUUGCUCUUAGACCAGAAUCAAUUUGCCAACAACAUUGACAUAUCAAGCUACAGCAGCAACAAGAAGCUCAGGAUGCUUUCCCUUUUCCCUUUGCUAACAGCCUGCUUGAUGAAAUGUUCAAAUGGAAUGGUGGAAAGACAAAGUAAGAGUUGGGCCUAACUGUACAUUUUACACUAUCUUUUCAUCAAGAGUCAUGUAAGCUUUCCUCAUGUAUAUGUCACUUGAUUUGACAUUUUGACAAAA